ensembl:lncRNA
GUUACAUUAAACUAACAUGUAUCAUGGUUAUGCUGAAUGAUAUUGACUGCUGUCCUGACAUGUUACUGUAUUGUUUAUCUCUAUAUAGGAAGGAUUGAUCAACUUCUGAAUGCAAAGAGACUGACCAAUAUAGAGAAUUAUCCUGAAAAGGCUAAUCUAAUACGUGAGAAGGUAAGUGUUGUUACUGGUUUGAUACAGAACACAAUAAUAUGUGUGACCCUAGCUGGCAGUGGUGGAGUUAUUAGAUGAUGACCUUGUAAUGAACCAAAUGUUGAUGUUUUAUUUACAUUUUUAUUUUUUAGCAAAUGAAAAAACAGGAAC